GCGGGGGGAGGUGAUCCAUAUGAGACAUAGUUAGACACAGGGGACUUAAAAUCCCUCAGCCUCACGGCCUUGCCGGUUCAAGUUCGGCCGCCCGCA
rnacentral:tRNA from 1 species